rnacentral:rRNA from 1 species
GACGAACGCUGGCGGCGUGCUUAACACAUGCAAGUCAAGGGGGCCCAGCAAUGGGCAACCGGCGAACGGGUGCGUAACACGUGAGCAACCUACCGAACUGUGGGGGAUAGCCGGCCUAACGGCCGAGUAAUACCGCAUACGCUCUCAGUGAGGCAUUUCAUUGAGAGGAAACCUACGGGACAGAUCGAGGGGCUCGCGGCCUAUCAGCUAGUCGGCGAGGUAACGGCNCACCAAGGCAACGACGGUAGCUGGUCUGAGAGGAUGGCCAGCCACAUUGGGACUGAGAUACGGCCCAGACUCCUACGGGAGGCAGCAGUGGGGAAUCUUGCGCAAUGGCCUAACGGCUGACGCAGCGACGCCGCGUGUGGGAUGAAGCUCUUCGGAGUGUAAACCACUGUUGCCCGGGACGAAUAGCUCGAUUAAUC